AGCUCCAGUAGCGUACAUUAAAGUUGUUGCGGUUAAAAAGCUCGUAGUUGGAUCUCGGCGGCCCUGGGGCGGUGCGAUUUUGUCGCGACUGCCUCUUUUCGGGCCGUGCAAAUUUUUGGCGGAGGUCGCGGGGUGCUCUUCAUCGAGUGUCCCGUCCGGCGCCGCCAGGUUUACUUUGAAAAAAUUAGAGUGCUCAGAGCAGGCUUGACACGCCCGUAUAGUCGUGCAUGGAAUAAUGGAAUAGGACGUCGUUUCUAUUUUGUUGGUUCUUCGGAAAUCGACGUAAUGAUUGACAGGGACAGCUCGGGGGCAUUGGUAUUCCGACGACAGAGGUAAAAUUCUUGGACCGUCGGAAGACCGACUACUGCGAAAGCAUUUGCCAAGGAUGUUUCCA
rnacentral:rRNA from 1 species